rnacentral:RNase_P_RNA from 1 species
GGAAGGGGAGGAGAUGGCCGCUCCUCAUCAUCGCCCGUAAGGGGAGAUGAUCGGGGGGAGGAAAGUCCGAGCUCCGCAGGGCAGGGUGGUCCGUAACGCGGACGGUCCUAUCUCCAAAGAGAUGGGAUAAGGAAAGUGCCACAGAAAAAAUACCACCUACCCCGCUAAGAGCGGGGAGUUGUGAGUUAUGAGUGAAGAGUUAAGAGUUUUAUUACUUUUAACUCCGAACUUUGAACUCCGAACUUCGAGGCGUGAACCUCGGUGGGUAAGGGUGAAAAGGCGAGGUAAGAGCUCACCAGUGCACUGAGUGAUCGGAGCAGCUUGGCAAACCCCACCCGGAGCAAGACCAAAUAGGUCCCGUUUCUCCCACGAUAUGCGGGGAGAUAAGAAAAGCCCAUUCAAAUUUAUUCCGUAAACGGAGUAAAGACGGGACGGGUAAGGUCGCUUGAGGCCCUGAGCAAUCAGGAUCCCAGAUAAAUGGCCAUCAUUCCGGUCCCGCCUGUCGGCGGGAUCGAAAUACAGAACUCGGCUUACGGUCCCCUUCGCGAU